rnacentral:rRNA from 1 species
AUGGUUGUUUACCAUGUUGUUUGCUUCUUUCCGGUGUUGCUUCUUUGGGUUGGUUCCGAUAACAUUGCGUUUGUGAGGAUUCGUUCGACUACGUCCGUUUGUCUUCUUCAUGGACUCAUUCUUCUUCCUUGCGGGAUCUCAGGCAAGAUGACCAUACCCUCGGAAUCACGUCUAUCUUUGCUUGCUAGUUGCUUGCUCUAUUGCUAUGCCUAUGCCGCGAUACCUACCACAUGCUUUAUCAUGCCUCCCAUGUUGCCAUGUCAAGCCUCUAACCCACCUUUUCCUAUCAAACCAUUGUUUGGCUAUGUUACCGCUUUGCUCAGCCCCUCUUAUAGCGUUGUUAGUUGCAGGUGA